rnacentral:lncRNA from 1 species
ACCACUGAGAGUACAGAAAACACCUGUGAGAGAGGCUGGCAUCCAGGGCGGGAAACCUCUUUUGAGGGCGUGAACCAGGAUGUGAAGCAGCAUUUGAAUUCUUGCUGCUCUCUUCUGGAGCAGUGGGAUAUUGGGCAGUUCACUUAACCUCUCUGAGCUCCUUCCUCAAGCCUUUUUUUCCUGACUACAGCGAGCAACAGCUGUUUGAGAUGGUGGAGCACAUUCUUGCUGGUGAAAGGAAGCAAGGUCAACAGAGACUCAUAGAGGAAACAUUCAACAACUUGAACAGUAAGCAAGUUGCAGUUUCCGUCUCAGUGGACUGAGGUGAUACAGCAGAUUUUGCUGUGGACCAAGAUCCAGUUUUCCUCAUAACACUCACAGGUAUUAAAUGACUAAUCCAGAUCCCCAGCACCACAUCAAGAAGGAAAACAGCACAUGCCAACGUCAACACAUCUUUGAAAAGUUGCCACCAACGCUUCGCAUAAGAGGACUACUGGAAGGGAAGCUGAAUUCAGGGUCCUAUUAGGGUGAUAUUUGCGAGGCACUGUCUAACCCGAGAGAGUCCCGAAGCGUCCUGCAACAGGAAGAUGCCCUGGACCCAAUGGAUGGUCAGGAGAUGCGAAGUAACUGCCAGGGUGGCCUGGGCACUCCCAACAGACCACAAAUGUUGAUUUCAGAAUCUUUGGCACUUUCCAAAAUGUGGCUGAGCAGUAAUUUGGAAGCCUAAAUCCUGACUUUAGAAAUUCAUAAGAACAACCAAUGUUUUAUAAACUCAACAGAAAGUAAAAUAAACAAACCCAGGGUUUU